rnacentral:tRNA from 1 species
GCCGGGGAAGCUCAUUGGAUGAGCCGUCGGCUGAUAACCGACAGGCAGUGAGUUCGACUCUCACCCUCGGUACCA